GAUGAAGAACGCAGCGAAAUGCGAUAAGUAGUGUGAAUUGCAGAAUUCAGUGAAUCAUCGAAUCUUUGAACGCACAUUGCGCCCCUUGGUAUCCCGAGGGGCAUGCCUGUUCGAGCGUCAUUUCACCACUCAAGCCUGGCUUGGUGUUGGGCGACGUCCUCUUUGGGGACGCGCCUCGAAACGCUCGGCGGCGUGGCACCGGCUUUAAGCGUAGCAGAAUCUUUCGCUUUGGAAGUCGGGGCCCCGUCUGCCGGAAGACCUGCUCGCAAGGUUGACCUCGGAUCAGGCAGGGAUAACCGCUGAACUUAAGCAUAUCAAUAAGCGGAGGA
rnacentral:misc_RNA from 1 species